UGGAUAAAUUAUUGUAUUCGAUUGUAUUCGGUUGUAUUCAUGGUGUGAAAUAGGAAAAUACAUUGUUUUUAAACGGAAAGUGAAUCAAUUAACAUAAUAGACUCCU
rnacentral:pre_miRNA from 1 species